CGUCGCCGCCACCGUCGGAGGAGGGAGGCCUAUGGGGAGGUGGAGGGUUUGGGGGUUUGUUGUCAGCUGGAGAGCUCCAAAAAUCUGAAAGUCAUUAUCAGUGAACACAAGAAUGUAAAUACAGUGCACUCGGCGGUCCAUCACAAACAGCACACUUGCCUGGCAAUGCAUGGCUUUGGAGGGGAGGUGCUACGCUGGAGUGUGGUGUUUUCCUUUCUCUCUCUCUCUCUUUUUGCUUUUAACUGCAUUCCUUUACUGGAAGGGCCGGAAAUGCUGCCAGGCCCAGCUGCGGGCUCCCGGGAAGGUUCAGGAGGCUUUGGGCUUCAAGGCUCUUGAGAAAUGGCUUGGCUGUUGCCCACAGAGGGCCCAGCCCUUCCCCAGGGCCCAGAAUGGCUGGUCACUGGGAUUGUGGAGAUCGUGGAGAGAGGGUGAGGCCGGGAGCCCUGGGCCUGCCUUGUCCUUGCCAUGCACACCCCUGACCUUGGCUCCUGUUGCCUGCUUUCUGUCGUCCUUCCUUCCCUCUAAGGUCUGCGCUGUCCAACAGGGGAGCCAACAAGCCACCUGUGGCCAGUGAGCGCUUGAAAUCCAGCUUGUGCAACGAGGGACUCAAUUUUCCAUCUUAUUUCAUGUAAACCCAUUUAAAUGUAAAACAGGACAAUUCCAUUACUGAGAGACUCAAGUAGGUCUGGAACUGGGGUAUGUGAAACUACUUCUUCAGUUGUAAAUUUAAUGGGAUCUAAAUACUGAUCCAUGUAUUUUUGCUGAAAAUUUAGUGCCUGAAUAGAAGUGUGCUGUACGGAUAUAAUAUAUACUGGAUUUCAAACACUUAGCAAGAAAAAAAGAAGGUAAAAUAUUUCAUUACUAUUUUAAAAAAUAGAGAUGAUAUAUUGAAAUAGCAUUUCACAUAGUAAAUAAAUUAUAAAAAAUAA